UCCGUUGUCAUCCAGCGGUUAGGAUAUCUGUUUUCCACCCAGGAAACCCGGAUUCAAUUCCCGGAAACGGAA
rnacentral:tRNA from 1 species